AUAUGUAUUGAGCAGAGACGAUUUAUCAAUAGUCAGAGAACACCUGUUGAAGAUGAAGAUGGCAAGUUCUGCUAAGGAAGGAGACAAUAAUAAUAAUCUCCAACAUUAAAAAGAGCGAAGAACACUAUUCACAUCCUCAAAGCAUCUCUGAACAAGAUUGAUCCAUAAAAACAAUUUAGUCCCCACAACCCCCUUGUGGGUUUGAGAGAAAGGUACCAACUUUAGAGAUGCAACCCAACAAAACACAGCUAGAUUUAGCAGCAGCAGGAAAAUUCAACUAUAUUAGAAACUGUUUCCAGCUUUCUCAUAUAUAUAUGAAGUGGCAUAUAAAUUUACUUCUACCCAGCAACUCCAUCAGCUUGCAGCUCAUUGCAUCCUCCACUGGAUGGACCCUCCAUUCUCUCCUUAGCGCAUCGAAGAUGGUCGAGGAACACGUGGGCGAACUGGUGUCUUCGACGGGCUUACCCUGCAACCAUUCAUCCCCAAUCAGCUUCGAGAUAUAAAGUACACAGAUAAUAUCAUUACCGCCCAACCGUACCUUAUAGGCAAGGAUCCCAGAACAGCUCCGCUACAGUUGAGAGCAGCAAUUGCACUCUCAGCCUGCAACACAUGUCAAAAAGGCCGUCAAUUCACGAAAUGAAAACUACUAAAUCUAUUCACCACAUACAGAAGCAUAAUCCACAAGGGAAUCUCUCUUAUCUGGACUAACGUAUUCAUACACAAUAUCCAAGAUCUACCCGUCCAUCUUCAUCCCAAAAAUUAUUUAACAAUUUCUAAUACAGCCACAUAAGAAACUUUAACAUUUAACACAUUCAGUAAUUUGAAAUCAUCUCCAUCCCAGCAGUGCUUUAACAAUUUACAUUUAAUCAUUUAUGUUUUUUCUUAACUAUACUUUUGCCUAAUAUAUAAUAAGAUAAUUCAUUAAAUUAUAAAUGUGUUUUUCAAAAAAUGUUCCAUUUGCCUAUGCUUGUUGAAUUGCUAAUUAAGCAAAUACUUUUCCAUCCUUAGCAGUUGCUCAACAAAUUCCACAUCAGCUUCCACCACAUUCAGCAAUUGUAGCAAUUGUCAAAACUUUGGGGAUGAAACAUUUGUGUUGGUAGGAAUCAAAAGCUAGCUAGGAAUUUUGUAAGGAAUCACAAGACCACUUGUAAGUAUCAUUCCAGUAUCAUGCUCUAGAAUUAGGCAAGCACAUCCAAUUUUUUCGUUUACACGUUUUACCAAAAGUUAUUAGGACUCAUUUAUCAGCAAAGCAAGGUCUAGUCUUCAGGUGACAUUGAAGCUCAGGAAGUUAUAUUCGUAAUUUUCCCAUUCUACUACAAUACCAAGCAAGAUGUGUACUGUAGCAACAUUAAAAUGAACAUACUACUCAUGUUGCAACACACAUGCAUACAGACAACAUGGAUUAGUUAAGAGAACGUCAUAAGAGUUCAAAUAAUCUUCAGUUUUAAGUCGCUAUGUACUAAAUGCACAAGUUCUUGCUACAACAUGUGCAUGGAUGAUGCUCCGGACCGCAAGCAAGCCAGCUCUCUAACUAUCAAGUUUGCAGCCUUUCGACAUCUACGAACAUGAAGUCUAACCUGUUUACUUAUGAGUUGAAGAGGUUAAAAACUGGAAUCUUAAAUGCAAUAAAUGAAGUUGAGAGGUAUUUAAAUAGACAGGAGGCAAGGGCAAGUGAGCACAAGCAAAAGGAACAACAGAUGUAAGAAAUAUUAAAAGUCGUCCAUGACAAUACACAAUCAGUCACAAAAUCAUGCAGGGAACCUAAUUCGACCAUAAAACAUCGGCAGCCCAAGAUAUCGACUCGAGAAAAUAACCUUUUCAAGUGUGCACCUAAUCCGACUUUCAAAAGUACACUUCCCAGAGUUAGAACAGCACAAUUACAUAAACAAGGCCAACCUCCAACAGAGGAAAGCACAAACCUAUUAGCCCAAUAUCAAUUUAAUGCAAUGCUGCAGUAUUAAGAGGCACAGCCUACCGACUUUAGGGACCACAAAAAAGGUUCAGACAUUCUUGUAUUGCAAGCUUCAAUAUGCUGAAACUAGUUUAUUCCAGUACCAACUCCAAAUAUGGAAUGGAGCAUAACUCUUUUAACAUGUAAAGAUACCAAACGAUCAAUAGUUGCAGCAAAACACAAAGGAGAGCAAUAUGGCAUGAAUUUGGCAAGUCAGGAAGUAUAUCAAAUAAAAGAUAGACCAAAAGUGUUUAAGCAAUGCAAGAUGUACAGCUACUACACAAGUGCUACAUGUUUGAAAUGACAAUAUAAACAUUGUAAUUGCAGCAGAAAUUACCAUUGCAAACUCAACGAAAGCAAUACGAGUUGAAUGAUGAUAAUCACCAAGGAGCCUCAAACAUUGAACCUGCAUGGAAACGUAUUUAAAUAAGGUACCGCUGGGGUAAAAGAAGGAUACUUUGGAAAUGAUUGUAUCUGCCAACACAAACCUCUCCACAAAACGAUUCAAAGAACAGUCUAACAUCUGCUUGAGAAAUCUGCACUUGAGGAAAAAAAGUCACGCGGGGAAAAUGGUCCAGGAAACCCUCAAGGAACUCUAACCACAAUAACUAAACACACUGGAUGUAGCUUGCAGUUUCACCUUCUUGUCUAUAUUUGUGCAGUAAAUAGUCCUAGCACACAUCUCACGUUCAUCUUCAGACUGCAAACAUAGCAAUGUUAAAAGAAAAGGCAAAACUUCAACAAUCACAUAAGAAGAGGCCAUCAAAAUUGAAGAGUCACCCUCACCCUUGGCAAAAAUGUAGGGUUAACAGGUGCAAUGGCAGUUUUGGAAGGCAGCACUCUUAGUGGGUAAUAUCCAAGCACAGUCCCCGACAAAUUUAAAGCAACCCUUGCACCUUCUGCACGCACUCAAUGUAAUAAUUACACGUCAUUAUUAAAACUUGCAAGACGAACGAUGCUAAAGCAAUGAGUCAAUCACGCUUUUAUAAAUACCUUCAUCAGUAAAUUCAAUGAAAGCGAAUCGAAGGACUGAAUUAGGAUCACCGCAUAUACGACAAUCAACAACCUUUUGCACCAAAUAAGUAUCAAUGAUUAGUCACAAUGAAAUCCACAAUUAUGAAAUCAAUAUUGUCAUAAGCCGAUGUAUACUUGUCCACAAUGAAUAAAUAGACCGGCAAGCUGCUCCUCCGUAACCUACAAACAACCACGAAGAAUAACAACAAACUCAAAUCAGAACACGAACUACAACCUAUGAGAAACAUUUCACUAAAGACAGUAAACAGAACAGGACCUCAAAUGCAAACUAUAACAUAGGAGAAUCCGAACUACAACAUAGGAGAAACCUGCUGAUCAAUGUCAGACACAUAUACUGUCCUCCUAAUUACGUCCUCGCGCUGAGCCAUACUCCUCCUACUGUUGGUUCUUCUCCUUCCUUGGUUAAAAUUGUUCUUCUGCAACACCAAGAAACCAGAAAGUAAACCCAAGCAGCAUACACACAAAAAAACUGAUUACAAACUACUCUUCAUACCCUAUAGAUUUCCCUUACCCCCAAUAUUAUCAGAUGUUCUCUAAUACAUACAAAACAAUAGAGUAUCAGCAUUCUCCAUCCUUGCCAUUAGCAACUAAAAACCAAAAUUGAAGGAAACAACUACAAGUAUACGAACAAAGACUUGACUGACUUACCCUUUUUAUAUUUCCAUUUGCAUUCCCGUUGGGAUUAAGCAUUCCAAAAUUGUUAGCGUACCCAAAUCCGUUAUCCCAAAAGCCAUGAUUUUUAGCAAGAGAAGGUGGUACAAACUCUUGAGCCAUCGGAUUCAACUUGGACAGCAUAUCCACUAACUCACUCAUAUCAUUCGCCCCAUUAACUUUAGAGAAAUUCAUCUGAUGAUUGGCACCCCCAAACCCAUCAUCAGACUUGGUCACAUCGUUCUUGACCGUACUCAAAUCAGAAGCUCCAUUCUCCAGCUCCGACAGCUGGUCGCACUUACCAUCAUCCACCGCCCGAUCAUCGUUCUGGGGCUGAGAAAUUGUGUUUCCGCCGUCGAUCGCGGUGGAUUCGUCGUCCAUGGGUUUUGUGCUCUCAACGCCGUUGGAGUCAGAUGACAAUACAGUGGUGGUGUCCAAAUUCUGACCGGUGACCCCAUUUUUCGGCCCACCAUUUUCAGCAACAAUAGCCAUGAUCACAAACAGCUGAAACAAAAAGGGCUCGACUUUCGAUAUAAAAGCCUCCUUCUUUGUAGUCUCCUGCCGAAUUUUAAUCAAAGCAAUCACAGAAAUUGAAAGAAUCUGAGCAACCCAGAAAAAAGGAAAAAUUAACGCAAUAAAAGUCAAAGAAAUUAUAUGAGUUGUUGAAGAAAGAGAUCAUCAGUCGCAUCUUGCCUUAUCUUAACCGAUUCCCAGAAGAGAGCAGAGAGCUAGCAGUGAGCGAGAGACCCACUUGAGAGAGAGAGAGAGAGGGAGAGAGAGAGAGAGAGAUGUGGGGAGAUCGCCUUAAAACAGAAGCAGCUUGCUAAAACAAUUUUCUGAUUGAUGACACAAAGAAAGAGAUGAAUGGGUGUGAACACAGAGGGGAUAAUUAGCACAAAUGUCACCUACAUUUACCCCCACUAACUAAGUGUCAUUUACCUUUCCUUUUGUGACAGAAUCAUCACUUAUCUUUAUAGAGUCUAGUCUUUUUUUUGUCAAACACCAUCCAUUUGAUUCUUUUUUCACAAAGAAAGUGAUCAUCUUGUUAAGUACACUCAUAUAGAGGCCGUUACAAAAAGGUGACUCAUAAGGUGAAAGAGACUUUAAUUUGGCCGAUCGAGCUAUUUAGUUUGUUUUUUUAUUUAUGAAACGGAAAAUGCAUUAAUGUGUAUUUGGAGUUAGUUUAUAAGAUAGUCGUGAUUUGUUUUAAAAUUCUAUAACAUUGUCAAUUGUCAUAGCUACAAAAACAUUGGUUCGUUAAUGAUCGAGAAAAUAUCGAGACAGCCUUAGAAGAUAACCAAAAUGUUGGCGGAUGCUUUGGCAUACUUUGUGGCUUCCAAACUUGUGUCAUAUAACCAAGUGAUCUUUUCUUUUUUGACCGGGUUUACUUGGUUAUAUGACACAAGUUUGGAAGCCACAAAGUAUGCCAAAGCAUCCGCCAACAUUUUGGUUAUCUUCUAAGGCUGUCUCGAUAUUUUCUCGAUCAUUAAAGANNNNNNNNNNNNNNNNNNNNNNNNNNNNNNNNNNNNNNNNNNNNNNNNNNNNNNNNNNNNNNNNNNNNNNNNNNNNNNNNNNNNNNNNNNNNNNNNNNNNNNNNNNNNNNNNNNNNNNNNNNNNNNNNNNNNNNNNNNNNNNNNNNNNNNNNNNNNNNNNNNNNNNNNNNNNNNNNUAAACCUCUAUUUUGUUCUUCACUUUAAAUGGUUGCACUGAAUACCUUCACUAUAUAGUUUUUUAAUCUUGUGUUUGAAGAGGGAUACAAAUUUGUUCUUUUCCACAUAUAUUUGUUAAUGCAUUCUUGUCUUAAAUUUAUCAAUAAAAGAAAGAAGCAUUGUAAUUUAUAAAAAAAAAAAAAAGAAGCAUUGUAAUUUAUUAAUAUAUUUAAAUAUACGAUCAUGAUACCACCCCAAUUUUCAACCAUGUGGAAUUGUAUAUUUAAUUAAUGGUUUAAAUGCUUUGCACGAAUAAACAGUUAUAUCCGCAAACCAAUUAAGCCUAUCAAUAAAAGAAAGCAACAGAUAGAAAAUCUUACCAUUCUCUGAAUUUUUUUUAUCAUUAAACUUCAAAGAAUUAACCUCAUUGGACAUUAGUCAUCAAUCUCCAGCAUUAAAGCCACUAUUCACAUCUCAAAAACUAUUCUAUCGCCACAGCAUCUCUCAACAAAGAUCCAUACACAGUUUAAUCCUCGCAACCCUCUUGUGGAUUUCAAAGAAAGGUACCAAAACAAAAAUAAAAUUUAGCAUUAGGAUGAAAAAUAAACUAUAUUAGAAACUGUUUCCAGCUUCUCUAUAUAUAUAUGUAUCCAAGGACAUAUAUUACUUCUACCAGCAUGAAGCUCCAUCAACUUGCAGUGCUCAUUGCAUCAUAUCACCAGAGGAAUCGUUCUCUUACUGCAUCGAUGGUCGAGGAGGACAUGGACGAACAGGUGUCUUCGACGGGCUUACCCUGCAAC
rnacentral:lncRNA from 1 species